rnacentral:lncRNA from 1 species
GUAUAGUGUAUAAUUUUUACUUUUCUAAACGUUAAAACAGAGCGUCGAAUGUUUGUUUACAUUGAGACAAAUGCCGGUGUAACACCUGAACCCCUGAAAACCAAUAUACAGAGAAGGGUUUUCGAGAGCUAACGUUAGCAUACUGUAGUUAUCAGCUGAUUUAGUAGUCACACCAUGAUUAACUGUAUAUGGCAAUAAGGAGACGACGACAGUCAUUAACACCAAAUGUAUAUACCGUUACUGUAUAGGUUAUUGGACGAUUUAGACGAUUUUAAAAUGUAAAAUAAACAAAAAUGCUCAAUCAAUUUUAGCUAGCUAGGUACAUUACCUUGGUUUGUUUCCGUAUGUGCGGAUUGGAUUUUGCGAAUCUUUGUUUCACUACUAACAAGUAAAUAGAGGGCACCGUAUCUCAAGACAUGACUGGAGAGAUAUGACUGGAGAGAAAAACUGUUUGGAGAACUGUACCUAGUCAAUGCACUUUGCUGUUUAAUGUAUGCAACUUGCUACUAUGAGUUCAGAUUCGGUUAUAUUGUUGGAGACGGUGACAUUUUCUGCUGAAAACCACCAAGAUCAACGGACUAAAGACCCCAAAGAAACCAACUAUCCAAUAGAGAGCUUCUUACUUCAUCCGGGAGGAGAAAGACACAGACCUGUAGACCAGGAGCCCAACAGACCCAUUGCUUCAUACCGAUCUCUCCUUUGUCAAAACAAACAGAAGACCUGCAUAUUUCGAUUUCCAAUGUUUACGGAGGAAAGGACUUACACAUCCAAGAGGAAGUCCUUCCAUCCUCUGAGGAGUCUAUUGACAACAAGACUCCCGUAACACUGAAAAACAAACUCCAUAAACCUAACAACCAACUUCCGACAAGAGCCGCAAAGCGAAGCAAAGCCCAAAACAAACUCAAAACACUCAACAGUAAACAGAAGAGAGGAGUGAAGAGGUGUCCAGUGGAUGGCUGCCAGGUCACCGUCAUUCACUUUCCUCGUCACCUGCGGCAGGUCCAUGAGUGGGGCAGAGAGGAGGCCCAGUCUGAAGUCGGCCUGAGAGCACCAAGCAGACAUGGUGGCAGCAGCAGCAAGGCUAAAAACAACCAUCACUCCAGGCCUUUCCCCAUGACAGGCUGUCAUGAAGUGGUCAAAAGACUGCCAGCCCACCAGAGAAAGCAACACAAGCUUGAAAAGAACUGUCCUCUAUACAGAGAGCUUCUUACAGCGUCACAGAAGAGAAAGAAGGCCGACUCAGACACCCUUUCUGAGGCCUGUAACAGAUACAGCAUAGAAAAACCAGCAUCAAUUCAUAUCCGAAGUGGUCACACCCAUUUACACACAGACCUUUUUUGUAG